CCUACGGGGUGCAGCAGUGGGGAAUAUUGGGCAAUGGGCGCAAGCCUGACCCAGCAACGCCGCGUGAAGGAAGAAGGCUUUCGGGUUGUAAACUUCUUUUAUCAGGGACGAAGCAAGCGACGGUACCUGAUGAAUAAGCCACGACUAACUACGUGCCAGCAGCCGCGGUAAUACGUAGGUGGCAAGCGUUAUCCGGAUUUACUGGGUGUAAAGGGCGUGUAGGCGGGAAAGCAAGUCAGAUGUGAAAACAAUGGGCUCAACCUGUGGCCUGCAUUUGAAACUGUUUUUCUUGAGUGCAGGAGAGGCAGGCGGAAUUCCUAGGGUAGCGGUGAAAUGCGUAGAUAGUAGGAGGAACACCAGUGGCGAAGGCGGUCUGCUGGGCAGCAACUGACGCUGAGGCGCGAAAGCGUGGGGAGCAAACAGGAUUAGAUACCCCUGUAGUC
rnacentral:rRNA from 1 species